CCUACGGGUGGCAGCAGUCGAGAAUCAUUCACAAUGGGGGAAACCCUGAUGGUGCGACGCCGCGUGGGGGAAUGAAGGUCUUCGGAUUGUAAACCCCUGUCAUGUGGGAGCAAAUUAAAAAGAUAGUACCACAAGAGGAAGAGACGGCUAAAUCUGUGCCAGCAGCCGCGGUACUACAGAGGUCUCAAGCGUUGUUCGGAAUCACGGGGCGUAAAGCGUGCGUAGGCUGUUUCGUAAGUCGUGUGUGAAAGGCGCGGGCUCAACCCGCGGACGGCACAUGAUACUGCGAGACUAGAGUAAUGGAGGGGGAGCCGGAAUUCUCGGUGUAGCAGUGAAAUGCGUAGAUAUCGAGAGGAACACUCGUGGCGAAGGCGGGUUCCUGGACAUUAACUGACGCUGAGGCACGAAGGCCAGGGGAGCGAAAGGGAUUAGAUACCCCAGUAGUC
rnacentral:rRNA from 1 species